AGGAUGAACGCUAGCUACAGGCUUAACACAUGCAAGUCGAGGGGAAACGACAUCGAAAGCUUGCUUUUGAUGGGCGUCGACCGGCGCACGGGUGAGUAACGCGUAUCCAACCUGCCCACCACUUGGGGAUAACCUUGCGAAAGUAAGACUAAUACCCAAUGAUAUCUCUAGAAGACAUCUGAAAGAGAUUAAAGAUUUAUCGGUGAUGGAUGGGGAUGCGUCUGAUUAGCUUGUUGGCGGGGUAACGGCCCACCAAGGCGACGAUCAGUAGGGGUUCUGAGAGGAAGGUCCCCCACAUUGGAACUGAGACACGGUCCAAACUCCUACGGGAGGCAGCAGUGAGGAAUAUUGGUCAAUGGACGAGAGUCUGAACCAGCCAAGUAGCGUGCAGGAUGACGGCCCUAUGGGUUGUAAACUGCUUUUAUAAGGGAAUAAAGUGAGUCUCGUGAGACUUUUUGCAUGUACCUUAUGAAUAAGGACCGGCUAAUUCCGUGCCAGCAGCCGCGGUAAUACGGAAGGUCCGGGCGUUAUCCGGAUUUAUUGGGUUUAAAGGGAGCGUAGGCCGGAGAUUAAGCGUGUUGUGAAAUGUAGACGCUCAACGUCUGCACUGCAGCGCGAACUGGUUUCCUUGAGUACGCACAAAGUGGGCGGAAUUCGUGGUGUAGCGGUGAAAUGCUUAGAUAUCACGAAGAACUCCGAUUGCGAAGGCAGCUCACUGGAGCGCAACUGACGCUGAAGCUCGAAAGUGCGGGUAUCGAACAGGAUUAGAUACCCUGGUAGUCCGCACGGUAAACGAUGGAUGCCCGCUGUUGGUCUGAAUAGGUCAGCGGCCAAGCGAAAGCAUUAAGCAUCCCACCUGGGGAGUACGCCGGCAACGGUGAAACUCAAAGGAAUUGACG
rnacentral:rRNA from 1 species